GAUGAACGCUGGCGGCGUGCUUAACACAUGCAAGUCGAACGGGAAUUACUUUAUUGAAACUUCGGUCGAUUUAAUUUAAUUUUAGUGGCGGACGGGUGAGUAACGCGUGGGUAACCUGCCUUAUACAGGGGGAUAACAGUCAGAAAAGGCUGCUAAUACCGCAUAAGCGCACAGAGCUGCAUGGCUCAGUGUGAAAAACUCCGGUGGUAUAAGAUGGACCCGCGUUGGAUUAGCUAGUUGGUGGGGUAACGGCCCCCCAAGGCGACGAUCCAUAGCCGGCCUGAGAGGGUGAACGGCCACAUUGGGACUGAGACACGGCCCAGACUCCUUCGGGAGGCAGCCGUGGGGAAUAUUGCACAAUGGGGGAAACCCUGAUGCAGCGACGCCGCGUGAAGGAAGAAGUAUCUCGGUAUGUAAACUUCUAUCAGCAGGGAAGAUAGUGACGGUACCAGGCUAAGAAGCCCCGGCUAACUACGUG
rnacentral:rRNA from 1 species